rnacentral:rRNA from 1 species
UACGUAGGGCGCAAGCGUUGUCCGGAAUUAUUGGGCGUAAAGAGCUCGUAGGCGGCUUGUCGCGUCUGCCGUGAAAGUCCGGGGCUCAACUCCGGAUCUGCGGUGGGUACGGGCAGACUAGAGUGAUGUAGGGGAGACUGGAAUUCCUGGUGUAGCGGUGAAAUGCGCAGAUAUCAGGAGGAACACCGAUGGCGAAGGCAGGUCUCUGGGCAUUAACUGACGCUGAGGAGCGAAAGCAUGGGGAGCGAACAGG